UCUAGUGUAACUGUGUAAAAGAAUAGAGGCUGUACUUGGGAUCCCUCAAGUGUGCGGGCUUCAGUUACAGGAAAAGCCAAGCCUGAGUGCUGUUUCCGAUUGAGUGGAAAGCACGCUUUUUUGUGAAUUAUUCCUGUUUUAAGUGAUGUGUGACAUCAGCCCUGAUAGCAAAUGGCUUACUCGAAAGAUAUUGAGGAAAUUCAGUAAUGUACACAUUAUAAUGGGGUGGAUCAAAAGUUUUAAAUUUUACAUAGUUAAACUUCCUAAGUAGACCUACGUAACUUCGGAGCAAGUCUAAGCUGUUGCAGAUUUGAAAGCCUUUUUGAAAUUCAGGACUACAAAUGAUACUCUUUCCCAUUGUAGGAUGGGGAUUAUGUAUCUUAUUUUCUUCUAGCUUUUAAACAAAAGCUGCAGCUUCAUACUUAUCCCCUAGGAGUGUUGUGCAGCUGAAUGCGUGUUUCUAACAUUUCUCAAGGUGCUCGCAUGAACGGCAUGAUGGGCAAGACUAGCAAAGGUGCAGAUUACUGUGGUCAGAAAAUAAACCAGUAUUUUGCUUAAAACUCAUCCUGUUUUGCUUAACAUAAGAGCAAUUUGUUCUUACUGCAGGUAGAAUGUCCACUCGAUGGUCUUAAAGUGAAGGCAGUAAUUUAACAAGUCAGUGUCCUGAAGCCCAGCAGCACAAAGUCAUGGGAAAAUGUUAAUGUAUUCUUUGAUAGUAAUCGUCUGUACCUGCAGCCCCUCCCAUGUGAAGAUUCAGAAGGGCUUUAUUAAGGCAAAGCAUCACGCAUAAUACUUAAAUGUGACUGCUGAUGAGUACAGCAUUCAGAUUUUUGUGACAAAUACUAGUCUGCGGGAUCUGACAUCCGUAUCAGUAUUUCUAACUAACCUGUCAGCUUUGGCAGGUUUCUGCGAAGAUACUCAUCUUACAAAAGUUCAGAUUGUUGCAGAAAAUUCACUCCUGCAGAAAAAUUUGCAGGUUCCUGUGGCUCUUCUGGAUACAGAGGAAGAUGCAAUCCAGCAAUGGGAGAGGGAUGGGGGCCUGUGGAAAAAACAGAUGCAGUAAAGUUGGCUAUGGUCAGGGCCAUGUAAAAAUAACUACCUUUAACAUAAACUUACAUAAAUAUCCUGCUGUCUGCAUGGCUAAUACUCUCAGAGCUGAUUUUCCAUUGCGAAUUGUGUCUAAGGUCCUAAACAUUUUGGGUCCCCAUCUGUUUUCACUCUGUAUGAUAGACAUGAAACCUUAAGAGACAUGGGAUAAACCCCACCUCCAAAUCACAAGAAGUAAAUUUUUACACAAAGCCUGAAGGAGACUUUUAUAUUAGUUGUCUGGUUUCUUGUCAAUAAAGAGAAUUCCGGUGCUGUUAGGGGAUUUAGGGGCUAUGACAUACUUAACAGUAGAAGAGUCACCCCGCAGUUAGCAGAAAGUUUAGAAGAGGCUGUCGAUGAGAGUUUUAAUCUGUGAUGACCUAUAGGCUGCACUGGUGCACUGCACGAGGCUCCAAUGACAAAUGGAAGCGCUCAGUAACACGCAGUCAGCAUUGUAUCUAUUGCUGAAAUAAUUGCUUAAUGCUAUUUUGCUUAUCUGAACUCAGGGCGUCUUAGUAAACAAAUGUCUCAUUCCAAUAUGUACAGAAUCGUGUGAUACAUUCGGUGUACUCCUACCUCUAUCCAGAAGGAAGCUGAGAGAUACCUCUGGAAACUGCAUUUUGGGGGCAUACCUUUAAAAUUAACAGCCAUAGUAACUCACUGAUUUGUUUGACUAUGUCCUCCAGCAAAUCACGUCUUCACCUCAGAGCAAUUAAAACAGUGGAACAGAACUUCACUUGAAUGCGUUUACUGCUUUUCUCCUGCUUUUGCCAUAUGCUGAUUUCUCCCAGAGGGAGAAAAUCUGAGUACCGUGUAAGAUUUUCCAAAUAGAAUAAUAAACGAGUGGGUGUUUGAGCUCUGAAAGGAUAUGAAUCUCUGAA